GUCGCGCGGCGAUGCCGGUCGGCCGCUUACGCCUAUAAUUCCUCCGUUGGCUCCUCGUGUUUCCCUCCACGAUAUCGAAUUAAAAUCCCAAAAAUUAUAAAAGUGCAAAAUUAAAUUAUCGCAAGUAUUUCCCCUCGCAAAUACAUUUAUUUCGAAACUUGGGGUAACUUAUUUGUACAUCGAUUUAUCCCGAGAAUUAAUUAAAUAAUUCUACACAAUUAAUUUAAUUAUCAACUCAAUGAUUUAUUUAAUUAUCGGUCCAAUUCAACAAUUAAAUGAGGCAGCCCAUUUAUUCCCUUAAUUAAAUUCUAGGCCCAAUUCCCUUUAAUUAAUUAAAGUGGCCCAAUUAAAAGUCAUCCCCCUCAAUUAUACUCCCCUUCAUCCAUCGUAUCUCUCUCUCAUUCACCUUCUUUAUUUCAAUUCUUCCCCAAAUCCACCUUCCCAUUUGAAAUCCCUAAACAAAGGCAUAGAGAAGCAGCGGCGCCUCUCUUCCUCACGCCUCUCUCUUCUCCGGCGUCAGCGUCCCCCAAGCUGGAGUGCACCGAGCUGCCGGAACCCACGCCAGAUCCCUCCGUCGAGAUCUCUCUGCAUCGAGCUCUCCGUCAGGUUCCUCACGCGGAGGGGCUGUCGAUUCGAGGGAGGAACGGAGGCGUCGCCUUUCAGCUGUGGUCCGAAACGAGUAGCCGCUGACCGGAGAUGCAUCGUUGUCCGGUUCUCCGCCGCCGGGUACGCCCCUGUCGUCGCCGUCAUCUCCAGAUCUCCCUCUCGUUCAGGCCAGCUGCCGUUGCGGAGGCCGCUGUCACCUCGCGCGGCCCCAGGCCCCGUCGCCUCCCCCUUCGUGCGCGUCGCUGCCGUCCGUCUAACCUAGCCAUCGUUCAUCAUCGAACCAACCCCGAAACGUCCCGAAAUCAACCCGAACAGCCCCGAUUGAACCCCGAAAGGUAUAGUUCGUCCAAGUUCGUGGUCCUCCGCGUUGAAGUACCCGUUUUCUAAAAACGUACGAUGUAUAAAUUAAGUUUUGUUGGACUUUUGUUGGAUGUAUCGAAAAUUAAAAUUGGGACUCUAUUUAUUAAAUUUAUUAUAUUCAUAUAGGUGUAAUAUAUAUUUACGUGUUCUA